rnacentral:rRNA from 1 species
CCAAUAGCGUAUAUUAAAGUUGUUGCAGUUAAAAAGCUCGUAGUUGAAUUUCGAGAUCGGUUUAUUGGUCGUGCUAUUGUACGUACUGGUAUUACCGGUUUCUCCUUUCUGACGAACCUUAAUGCCAUUAAUUUGGUGUUUUGGGAAAUCAGGACUGUUACUUUGAAAAAAAUUAGAGUGUUUAAAGCAGGCUCACGCUUGAAUACAUUAGCAUGGAAUAACGGAAUAGGACGUUUGAUUCUAUUUUGUUGGUUUCUAGGAUCGACGUAAUGAUUAAUAGGGAUAGUUGGGUGCAUUAGUAUUCAAUUGUCAGAGGUGAAAUUCUUGGAUUUAUUGAAGACUAACUACUGCGAAAGCAUUUGCCAAGGAUGUUUUCAUUAAUCAAGAACGAAAGUUAGGGGAUCGAAGACGAUCAGAUACCGUCGUAGUCUUAACCAUAAACUAUGCCGACUAGGGAUCGGAUGAUGUUAAUUUUUUAAUGACUCAUUCGGCGCCUUACG